rnacentral:rRNA from 1 species
UCAAAGAUUAAGCCAUGCAUGUCUAAGUAUAAACACUUUUGUACUGUGAAACUGCGAAUGGCUCAUUAUAUCAGUUAUAGUCUACUCGAUAGUACCUUACUACUUGGAUAACCGUAGUAAUUCUAGAGCUAAUACAUGCAUGAAUACCCAACUGCUUGUCGGGCGGGUAGCAUUUAUUAGAUUGAAACCAAUUCAGUCUUCGGGCUGGUAUUGUGUUGAGUCAUAAUAACUGUGCGGAUCGCGCUUUUGCGCGAUAAAUCGAUUGAGUUUCUGCCCUAUCAGCUUUGGAUGGUAGGAUAUGGGCCUACCAUGGCAUUAACGGGUAACGGGGAAUUAGGGUUUGAUUCCGGAGAGGGAGCCUUAGAAACGGCUACCACAUCCAAGGAAGGCAGCAGGCGCGUAAAUUACCCAAUCCUGAUACAGGGAGGUAGUGACAAUAAAUAACAAUGCUCUGGCUCUUCGAGUCGGGCAAUUGGAAUGAGAACAAUUUAAAUCCCUUAACGAGGAUCAAUUGGAGGGCAAGUCUGGUGCCAGCAGCCGCGGUAAUUCAAGGGCGAAUUC